AAGCCCCAUGGUGUAAAAGGCACACCCGGAUUGCAAAUCUGGUAGCGCAGGCUAAUCUCUGCUGGGGCUUG
rnacentral:tRNA from 1 species